rnacentral:lncRNA from 1 species
UGAACUCCCCGAAAUUCAAUUUCGACUACGCGUACAAGUCAUAAAACAAGAAGUGAAGCUAUAAAGGCCUCAAACCACCGAACGAGGCAUUAGAACUCAAAACGACCGGUCAAUUCGUUACAUCGAUGCAAGUGGAAUACACGGGUAAAUGAGGAGAUGAAGAGGAUGUAGCGCAAAAGGUUGAAAGUGCCCUAAUUGAAGUUAACUCUGUUAAGCUUCAGUUAAUAUUUGGAUUAAAAAAUGAGAGAUUUAUACAUAAGUACAUUCCAUACACAUACAUUGUAACUAGGUGACCUACAUACAACUUUGCAAAGUUGUAGCCCGAAAAUAAUCGGUCAAGAUUCAACAUCUCACUCCAAAUAGGUUCUUGAAAUCCAUAUUCUUAUUUUUACAGAUCAAGAUUCUACCUAAUUCUCCGAAUUAAUAAUUGUGACUCAAACUUUAGUUCCACAAACCAAAUCCAUUUGGGUGGUAAAAAUUAAUUAUUAAUAUAAUCCACUAUUUUAGUUAAAUGAGCUUAAAUAAGUGGGUUAAAAUUUCGAAUUUGAUUUUGUGAGAAAUUUAGAGUGGGUGUUGUUUAGACUUGUUAGAAAG